rnacentral:misc_RNA from 1 species
AGCAGCCGCGGUAAUUCCAGCUCCAAUAGCGUAUAUUAAAGUUGUUGCAGUUAAAAGCUCGUAGUUGAAUUUCGGGAUCAAUAUAUUGGUCGUGCCUUUGGUAUGCACUGGUAUUAUUGAUUUCUACCUUCUGACGAACCAUGAUGUCAUUAAUUUGGUGUCAUGGGGAAUCAGGACUGUUACUUUGAAAAAUUGAGUGUUUAAAGCAAGCACACGCUUGAAUACAUUAGCAUGGAAUAAUGAAAUAGGACGUUUGAUCUUAUUUUGUUGGUUUCUAGGAUCGACGUAAUGAUUAAUAGGGAUAGUUGGGGGCAUUAGUAUUCAAUUGUCAGAGGUGAAAUUCUUGGAUUUA